rnacentral:rRNA from 1 species
CUGGCGGCAUGCCUCAUACAUGCAAGUCGAACGAGAUCUUCGGAUCUAGUGGCGCACGGGUGAGUAACAUGUGGGAAUCUACCUGAAGGUUCGGAAUAACUGCGGGAAACUGUAGCUAAUACUGGAUGUGUCUGCAAAGAGAAAGAUUUAUCGCCUUCAGAUGAGCCCGCACUAGAUUAGCUAGUUGGUGAGGUAACUGCUCCACCAAGGCUACGAUCUAUAGCUGAUUUGAGAGGAUGAUCAGCCACACUGGGACUGAGACACGGCCCAGACUCCUACGGGAGGCAGCAGUAGGGAAUAUUGGACAAUGGGGGAAACCCUGAUCCAGCAAUGCCGCGUGAGUGAAGAAGGCCUUAGGGUUGUAAAACUCUUUCAUCAAUGAUGAUAAUGACAUUAGUUGAAGAAGAAGCUCCGGCUAACUUCGUGCCAGCAGCCGCGGUAAUACGAAGGGGGCUAGCGUUGUUCGGAAUCACUGGGCGUAAAGCGUAUGUAGGCGGAUCAAAAAGUUAGAUGUGAAAUCCCUGGGCUCAACCCAGGAACUGCAUUUAAAACUAGUGAUCUAGAAAUUGGUAAGGGUUAGUAGAAUUUCCAGUGUAGAGGUGAAAUUCGUAGAUAUUGGAAAGAAUACCAGAAGCGAAGGCGACUAACUAGGCCAUUUUUGACGCUGAGAUACGAAAGCGUGGGUAGCAAACAGGAUUAGAUACCCUGGUAGUCCACGCAGUAAACGAUGAGUGCUAGUCGCUGGUACAAUAGUAUCAGUGUCGAAGCUAACGCAUUAAGCACUCCGC